rnacentral:rRNA from 1 species
UGAGUAACCUGCCCUUAACUCUGGGAUAAGCCUGGAAACUAGGUCUAAUACCGGAUAUGACUCCUCAUCGCAUGGUGGGGGGUGGAAAGCUUUAUUGUGGUUUUGGAUGGACUCGCGGCCUAUCAGCUUGUUGGUGAGGUAAUGGCUCACCAAGGCGACGACGGGUAGCCGGCCUGAGAGGGUGACCGGCCACACUGGGACUGAGACACGGCCCAGACUCCUACGGGAGGCAG